UACGAAGGGGGCUAGCGUUGUUCGGAAUUACUGGGCGUAAAGCGCGCGUAGGCGGAUGAUUAAGUCAGGGGUGAAAUGCCGGGGCUCAACCUCGGAACUGCCUUUGAUACUGGUCAUCUGGAGUACGGAAGAGGUGAGUGGAAUUCCGAGUGUAGAGGUGAAAUUCGUAGAUAUUCGGAGGAACACCAGAAGCGAAGGCGGCUCACUGGUCCGAUACUGACGCUGAGGCGCGAAAGCGUGGGGAGCAAAC
rnacentral:rRNA from 1 species